rnacentral:tRNA from 10 species
AUGACUAUGGCGGAAUUGGUAGACGCGAUUAGUUUAGGUCUAAUUUAUUUUUAAUAAUAUGGGUUCAAAUCCCAUUAGUCAUA